CAGUCGCCACGGGAAUACGUAGGUGGCAAGCGUUGUCCGGAAUUAUUGGACGUAAAGCGCGCGCAGGUGGUUUAAUAAGUCUGAUGUGAAAGCCCGCGGCUCAACCGUGGAGGGUCAUUGGAAAUUGUUAAACUUGAGUGCAGGAGAGAAAAGUGGAAUUCCUAGUGUAGCGGUGAAAUGCGUAGAGAUUAGGAGGAACACCAGUGGCGAAGGCGGCUUUUUGGCCUGUAACUGACACUGAGGCGCGAAAGCGUGGGGAGCAAACAGGAUUAGAUACCCCCGUAGUCCCUGUCUCUUAUAA
rnacentral:rRNA from 1 species